GCCGGGCGCGGUGGCUCACGCCUGUAAUCCCAGCACUUUGGGAGGCAGAGAUGGGCGGAUCACCUGAGGUCAGGAGUUCGAGACCAGCCUGACCAACAUGGUGAAACCCCGUCUCUA
rfam:Gorilla gorilla gorilla genomic chromosome, chr1, whole genome shotgun sequence